rnacentral:rRNA from 1 species
UACGUAGGGCGCAAGCGUUGUCCGGAAUUAUUGGGCGUAAAGAGCUCGUAGGUGGCGUGUCGCGUCUGCCGUGAAAGCCCAUGGCUUAACUGUGGGUCUGCGGUGGAUACGGGCAGGCUGGAGGCUGGUAGGGGCAAGCGGAAUUCCUGGUGUAGCGGUGAAAUGCGCAGAUAUCAGGAGGAACACCAAUAGCGAAGGCAGCUCGCUGGGACGUUACUGACACUGAGGCGCGAAAGCGUGGGGAGCGAACAGG